rnacentral:rRNA from 1 species
UACAGGGGGGGCAAGCGUUGUUCGGAAUUACUGGGCGUAAAGGGUCUGUAGGUGGCCAACUAAGUCAGACGUGAAAUCCCUCAGCUUAACUGGGGAACUGCGUCUGAUACUGGAUGGCUUGAGUGUGGGAGAGGAAUGCGGAAUUCCACGUGUAGCGGUGAAAUGCGUAGAGAUGUGGAGGAACACCAGUGGCGAAGGCGACUUUCUGGCCUAUAACUGACGCUGAGGCGCGAAAGCGUGGGGAGCAAACAGG